GUUUAAUGUUACUUUACCUGAAGCCUGUUUGUGACCCUUUCCAGAGAUCUCUUGCAUCAUUUUUGUGUGUUUGGGAUUUUUUUUUUGCUCCUAUGUCAGAGGAUCAUGACAGACAUUGAUUUCCUGCUCAGUUUAGGUCAUAGCUUGUUCCUGUUCUAGACUGUAUCUGUUAGAAAGAUUUCCAAUCUUAAUUUAAAAGGUUUCUUUUUAUGAGAGUGCAUCAGAGGCAGAGACAAGUUGUUAAAGGUGAAAUUCCAUUUGUAGGUAAAGACUUGGACCCUGUGUUUUUUGUUUGAAUUUCUGCAGGUUUGGCUCCUACUUAAGAAAUUAUGUUGUUUGCAGUGGGACUCCAUGACAUGCAGUGGGCUAAUUGGAUAGUUAAUCUUCCAGGAUCAGGGCCUUAUAUUCUUGAAGAACAUGCAUGUUGGAAAUCUCAUUUAGCAGUGUAUAUAUAUAUAUAUAUAUAUAAUUUUUUUUUAAAGAAGCCAGUGAUUCUUUUAGUGUGACUACUUUUUGAAUGCAAAAAGUUAUUUUGAAGGUAUUCUGUGGAAAAUAAUGGGGUCCAUGCUGUUGUAUAUUUGCUGCAUCUGUUUAACAUUAAUGGCAUUCCUUUGAUUAUCUGUUUAUCAGGACAGUUAUAUUUAAAAAUAGGUUAGACUUUUCAUUAAAGGAAAACAAGAUCCUUCAAGCAAUAUGUCUGCAAAAUAUUCUCUUCUUGAUUUUUUUUUUGUUUGUUUGUUUGUGUUUGGGGUGCUUUUCAUUUGGACAUCAUGAGAGUACGGUUUGUGUUUAGAACAAUACCGUGAGCACUAACAACCAGGACUAGUGAAUUGUGGUGCUCACGUCUCAGUUCAUGCAAAUUGACUGGUUCUGCUGAGGUCACAGAAUAAAUCCUGAGUUAUGUACAUCAAGAGUUUGUCCCUUUGGGAGAGCUGACAGUUUAAACUCAUUUGGUAGCUCCUAGAUCAGAUCAACCAGUGAGUAUUACAGAGUGGUGAAAUUGUAUGCAAGUAUGUGAUGUGCUUGAAGUUCUGUCAUUCAGUGCUGACAGCUGUAACUUCAGAGUACAAUUAAUGCUCUGUGGUGUCCCCCUUUUUUCCAAGAAGACAGCGUGCUGAGAAAACACACCUCCAGGAAGGUACGAAAAAGUCCCGGAAUUUCUCCAGUGAAUGCACUGCUUUAUGCUGCUGUCCUUUCUCUUUAUUACAGGCUCAGGCUUGUGUGACUAGAGUCACAUUCCCUUCACAUGGCUCAAACACCAGCAUUGUUGCCUGGGACAGGUGCUGCCCAUCCAAGACUUAAUUGCUGCUCCUUUUGCAAUUUCGGUGCAUGUCAAACUCGUUGAAAUUGACUGGUUUUUCCACCCUAGCUUUACACUGAUGUUUCUGUUAUACAACAGAAAAAAGUGAGACUUAAUAUUGGCAAAGUGCUGCGUAACUAAGAAUCAAUCUCUCAAAGAGGAGACCCGUCUCCUGCUGCCCAGUUGCUGCCUGGGUGUGCAUGAGGUGGGGGUUGCUGCCUGCCUGGAGCAUGCUGCAUGUUGGCAGACCCAGGUACCACAGGCUCGGAUGAAUUCCUUUAGGUCUGUCAGGUGCUACUGGGAGUUCAACAAAAGGGAAGGAUAGAAACUCUGAUCUUGGUGUCGUGGAUACCAUUGGUGUCACAGAAAUAGCUGACCUGAAAGCAAAACUUGAGAGUUUAUUCUGGCAAGUAGUCCUUGUCAAAGUGAAAGUUGUUUGUAUCCUUGUAAAUGAACCGACACUUUCCAUGCUAAUUGCAUCAACUUCGUUUGUACAGCUAGUUAGUAGUGUUUUAUCCUAAAGGCUCCAAAGCACAGCAGAGCCUCAGCUCAGGUGUCAGGAUCUCCAAGGUCUGUUCGACUCCAUCCAGGAGGGAGCCUGAGCAUGGUUCUCAUUGCUCAUCCCUGCUGCUAUUUGUUAAGACUUGUGGACUGGAACGGCCACAAAGCAUCCUGCAGACUGAAGAGUAGUGAGGGCCAUCUGAACUGGGUCUGCUUGGCAAACAUGGCUGCUUGCUGUAUAUAGAGAGGAUGUGAUCUCAUUUGCCUGCCUGCAGAUCUGCAGUCUCACCUGGUAGCUAGUGGGGAUGGCAGAGGAGCAGCCUGUCAGCUGGGCAGGAAGGCUGCAGGGCAGGCAGCCUGCGUCCUGCCAGGAAUAAUCUAUGGCAAUUUGAGAUGGGAUCCAGCAGUGCUCCUGGUCUGCACUGCCAAGGGAAAUGUGUGUUGUAUGCAAGAAAUCAGCGUGGGGGAUCCUCCAGAAAGCUAUUAGUGGGAGAGAUUCUUAUUAGCAUCUGCUAAAACUUAGCUUGUGUCCAUUAACAUCUGGUAUCUCUUCAGUAUUCCGCUAGUGUAAGCUCAUUUACAUCUCACAUCACAAGCGUCACCAUCACAGUGCAUGGCUUCUGGUCUGCUGCUGUUCACUUUUCUUUAUGUGUAUCUUUAUAAACACAUAUACUAUGAAAUACUUUAAUUAUUUUAUCUUCUUAAUAUAUGUAUAUAGGUAUUUGUGCAACUAAAAUAUUCUUUAAAAGAUUAUUACUUGCAACAUAUCAGUAAGAAAAUGAUGAAAAAUGAUUGGAAUGAUUCUUUAAUCUGAGUAUUAGAUUUCCUUUUUGAGUUAGGCAUGCAAUACCCAAGCAGCUGUGGCAAACCCAAGUGGAAGACUUUACAGUGUCAUUAAGAAGAGCUUUACUGAUAAAUACUACAAAUAAUUACUGGUCUAAGACAUCAGAGUUUUGAUGGCUGUUUUUAAAUAGUGUUCCUUAGGCUAAAUGUCCAUAUAGUGUGAAAUAAUGCAAUUAAACACUGAGUUACGUGGUCAUGUUUGUCAGUAGGGUGCUUAAUGAAUUUAUAAAAGGGCAAGAUCUCUAGAGGAGGAAAUGCUCUGUUUUCUUGUGUUCCUUUUUUUUCUAUUGGGACUUCUCAUCUAAAUGAGUACGGGAGGACAGGUGUGACAUUAAUGUGAUGUACUUCAGGUCUGUCUUUGCAUUUUGGGCUGAUUUCAGUUUUGAGAAGGCUGUUUUGAUGCAGACCACAAGAAGUAAGCCCAGUUUUGUGGCCACGUGUGGGGAAGGGCUUAAAGACAUGCUGCCUCUCCUUCAGUGUAAGGAUUGUGCCCUCUUCUGGGGACACAGUAUGCACCAGCUCAAGGUCAGGUGAAGCCAACUGGUGUGUUACGUGUUCACAGCACCCUCCCAGUCUGCCCUUUGGUUCUGAUGCAAAUCUGGACGCUGCAGAGUGAGUCUGUAAGGAUACAGAGCCAUGGCUUCCAACAAGCAUGAUUCAAUUUGAAGCUGCCUUGUUAUGUGGUUGCUCUGAGUUCACAUCAUCCUUAAGAAAACGGGCAAUUUUCCAGAAAUCAACGUGCCAGAACGGCUGGGAGGAAGAGCUCAGUGAGCACCCAUGUCGGUGUGUGAGCAGGAGAGACCCUUUCCUCCCCCCGGGCUGUCCCAGGGCAGGCUGUGUGUCAGGGUUUUGUUCCUGCCUCCCCCUUCCCGCUGCCGGUACCGGGCUGCAGCUGCACGGCGGAGGUAACCAGCGCUCCCAUUAAACAGUCACGUUUUCCAGAGAGCUUUGUUGUAGUUGGAGGAGGAUGCAUGGGAAGUACAGCUGCAGAAUGAUUUAACGAUGGCUCGGUAAUUCCUGGGAUAUUGCGUUAAGUGAAGUUCAUGAAUAAACAUUAGUAGAAAAAGAAUCGUAUUUGCUUUUCUCCUCUCUAGAUUUCUACUUUGGAGCGCUGUCUACCACCCGAGCUUUCACACAUCCCAUGGCUGGUGAAGUCAUGCUGCCUGAUGGAUGACUUGCAUUGUUUUAUUUAGUCUAGGUUCAGCUCUGCAUUGUGGUGUGGCUUCCUUUGGGAGUCUGCAGUGCAAGCUCACAGAUCUCACUGUUAGCGCACAAUUAUUGAGAUACGUUUUAAAUCACAGGAGUGACUUGCUGGGAUUUCCAGCAAUCUUUUAUGAGAAUGAGAAUGAACAAGGGGAGCUUAUUAGUUUUGAUAAUGUUUCAGAAAAUGUCAGGAGCUCUGAGAACUGAGGCAUGUUAGCCUUGAUGGGUACAAAAAAAGUAAUGAUAAAAGCAUGACUGAGGAGCUGUCGUGCUUUGCAGCCUCUGUCACCCAAGGCUCUGCUGAACACCAACUGCCUGGGAGCAGUGGAGUGAUGCUGCUGAGAUGGGUAAUGCUUUCUCGUGUCCUUUUGUUCAGAUAUUUUUCAUUAAUAGUAACGUGUGCUCAUUAAUAAUCGCAAAAAAAUGCCUUUCUCCAUCUGUCCUGCUUCAUGAGAACCUGCUGUGUAAAAUAAUGCUGAUAAUGGAGAGCCCCCCUGGGCCUCAUACAGUCAUUGACGUGUUUCUGUUCUGCCUGUACCUAGCUGGAGUUGUGCUUCUGAUUUCACAGUGCAGUUUGUGUUGGAAAACGUGACCUACAGUCCUGAAAGUCAGACCUCUGGGGAGUGUGGCCAAAGUAAUCGUUUUCUUAUGAGAAUCUGUGGAGGCCUCCUGAUUUGGUCCAUCAGUUGGCUUACAACAGGUUAGUGGGGAGCUUUCUUUGGGGACUUUCUGUCUUGUUUCCUGAUUCAGUGAUACUUUCCAAGCCUUUAGGUGAAUCCGCACAAGUUACUCACUAAGCAAAACAGUGGAGCCAGUCAUAGAGUACAAGUUAAGAAAAAUCAGGUAUGUUCUCAUCUUCACUUUUAUCGAAUAUGCUGAAUAAAGUAAGAUCUCAGCACUACAAAAAAGCCCUACAAUACAAUAACUUUUCCAUAUUGCUUUAACAUUUUCACUUAGGAAGUUGUCUAUGAUCUUUUUGGGACCUUCUGCAGAAGAAGGAGGGUGGCAGGUUGGCUUGAGCCCACCACCCUGUUCCAGGCAGCCACAGCCUAAGGAGGGCAGCCAAUGCCUGCAACCCCUUCUCCCAGUGCCUGGCACCUGGUGGGCAGCUGGUCAGACUCUCCGGAAGCACUGAUGUGCCUGGGGCCCUUCAUUGCACAACAGUGUCUGCUGUUACCCACUUUGUGUCUGUGAUUGACAAAUUUAUGUGUUUGCAGGUGCAGAUGUACUCCCACUGCAGGUGGGAAUCUGCCCUUUUAUGAGAACCUGCUGCUGGUGGUGCAUUUCCUUUAUUUUAAAAUGUUUUAUGGACACACGUACAGCUGAAAACGAAUUGUUGGACCUUCAGCACAGAAGUGAAAGAGCAUCACACGACUGCUGUUCCAAGCACUGCAGUGAGCUUCCUGUGUCACAAAUAAGCACCGACACUUCCCUUUUCUCAUCUUCCUUGUCACUCCGCCAGCUCAGCUGCUCUGAAAAGGUCCUGCGGCAGUUGUACAGCUGUCGUGUGGGACCGUGGUCCUGCCGAGUGGUCAUGGUGGGCAAAGGAGGAGGAAAACGCAUUUACAAAGAAUAAAACAGCUUAGAAUUCAUUUUAAGUGGAAA